UCUUAUUUUGUAUUUAUUUUCUUUCUUUCUUUUACCAUCGCUUACGUCCCCACCUGCCCACCCUGCUCCGCUCACAGGCCACUAAUGCGUCAAGGAGAAUGUUUACCGUGGGGAGACGUGCUCGACUUGUUUCCAUUGAGGUUCCUCUGGUGGCUGAAAUAACAAAAGAUUCCUGUCAUUAAGUUGCUCUUGGUCCCAACAUUAGGACGAAUUUGGGAAGAUGUCCAUCAGCAGGAUGCGUCAUUAUAUCAGGUAAAUAUGAAAACUGUGUGUAAAUAAUGUCUUAACUGUAUCUCAGUGUCACAGUUCACCCACUGUAUUCCCU
rnacentral:lncRNA from 1 species